UUAUUUGCGAUUGCUUGAGAGGGGGAAAAAACCCUCUGUAGCUACAGGCAGACAAGCUCAGUGCUCAGAAUCAUAAUGGCUAGAGCCUGCAGGCCCAUAUGCUUGCCAUCCUGCGAGGUGGAAGGCCAGCUCCGAUCAUCUCCAGCUGCUCAGGAUACAAUUGAUCAGUCCAGAUCCAGACAGCCAUCCACAGUCCCUGACCAGCUAAAGUGCUCUUACAAGGUUUCCAGCUCACCAGAGGACCACAUCAUGAUGCUUAUGAACGCAACCAGCUCUCAGUUAAUUUGACAAACUGCCUAGGCACCCACAUGUCAUUGUCUUUGGGCAAGCAUCUACACCAGCUUCUGCAAUGGCUAAGGCAGGCAUGCAAACUCGGUAUUACAGUACAAGAUUGGACUUCCAAUCCUGAAUCUGAAACUGUCCUGCUAGAUGAUUUUGAAGACACUUCAUCUCUGAGUGCCUCUCUUUAAAAUGUUAAGACAGGUAACAUUCACAGUGUAGUAAGACAGCAAUUAGUUCUAGGUGCUUGUGAAUAAAACAUGCUUUACUCAAGACACUAAGAGACUCAACAACAGGGCUGCUAAAUGAAUCUGAAGACCUACAUGAUACUGAAUAAUUUGGCUAAGUUAUAUGAUAAUAUUAGCUUGUAAAACCAAACAGAUAUCUUGGUCACUACUGUGACUCCACAUAACUAAAUUCUUGUUACCAGUAAACAAUAGCCCUUCCACUUCUAACAAGAGAACCUGUCUUUAGUCUGCCACAAAACAAACAAAUGAACAAAAAAAUACCCUGUUAAAAUCUUUUUGAUGUUGCUACAAGCAAUGUGUGAAAAACCUGCCAUGGUGACAGCUCUCCCCAUCUCCAGAGCCAAGCUCUGAAGACAGCCAAUAUCAUGUGUGUCCACAUGUGAUGGAUCUUACUUGGGCAUGAAAUUUUCCUUAGUUCUCAAGCAGUGCACAGAUGCAGGGUUUGACCAAUCUAAUGAGCGAACACAUACCACUGCCUGGCUGGUUAUAAGUGCAAAAAAAGCCAGGAAGGGAAUCUGAUUGAUCCUGUAUACCACUUGGUAUAUUUUUCCACCUUAUGCUACAACAUCACUACCAGAUCUCCUUUACAGUUCUUCUAGAACAGAGAAGAGAAUGCUGCAGGCCAUUAACUUGAGAAGAUCUUUGUUUCCCUCUAUAAUUUCUCUAGACACAAUAAAAGUUAUUUUAUCAGUAAGAAGUGACUCCAAUUUGUUCUUCAGCAGGACAGCUUCUAGAGCAAGUCCUGAAAAGACAUAAAGCAAGAGUGUUUGUUUUUGUUUUCUGAAGAGAAACUUCCAGACAAAUUCUAAAGCUCUCUAAUACUUGUGAAAUCUUAAGUAAUAUCAGAAUCUCUUAGAACUCUGAGCUGGAAUCAGAGACCAUAGCUCUGGACGCCAGAAAAUUCCUGUAGUUUUCUGAGAAAGAAAAUAUUCACAUCUCAGUGAAAGAAAAAAUAAAGUCACCAUCACCUCAA